rnacentral:rRNA from 1 species
AAUCAACGCUGGCGGCGUGCCUAACACAUGCAAGUCGAGCGAGAAAAGGGGAGCAAUCCCCUGAGUAAAGCGGCGCACGGGUGAGUAACACGUGGGUAAUCUGCCCUGGAGUGGGGAAUAACACCGGGAAACCGGUGCUAAUACCGCAUACGAUCACAGAGUCUGCGGAGUUUGUGAUGAAAGGAGCAAUUCGCUCUAGGAGGAGCCCGCGGCUGAUUAGCUAGUUGGUGAGGUAAUGGCUCACCAAGGCAACGAUCAGUAUCCGGUCUGAGAGGACGGUCGGACACACUGGAACUGAGACACGGUCCAGACUCCUACGGGAGGCAGCAGUGGGGAAUUUUUGGCAAUGGGGGCAACCCUGACCAAGCAACGCCGCGUGGGUGAUGAAGUCUCUUGGGACGUAAAACCCUCUCGACGGGGACGAAACCGCAAGGUUGACGGUACCCGUAGAAGAAGCCCCGGCUAACUCCGUGCCAGCAGCCGCGGUAAAAC